AACGAACGCUGGCGGCAUGCCUAACACAUGCAAGUCGAACGAGACCUUCGGGUCUAGUGGCGCACGGGUGCGUAACGCGUGGGAACCUGCCUUUAGGUUCGGAAUAACUCAGAGAAAUUUGAGCUAAUACCGGAUAAUGUCUUCGGACCAAAGAUUUAUCGCCUUUAGAUGGGCCCGCGUAAGAUUAGCUAGUUGGUGGGGUAAAGGCCUACCAAGGCGACGAUCUUUAGCUGGUCUGAGAGGAUGAUCAGCCACACUGGGACUGAGACACGGCCCAGACUCCUACGGGAGGCAGCAGUGGGGAAUAUUGGACAAUGGGCGAAAGCCUGAUCCAGCAAUGCCGCGUGAGUGAUGAAGGCCUUUAGGGGUUGUAAAAGCUCUUUUACCCGAGAUGAUAAUGACAGUAUCGGGAGAAUAAGCUCCGGCUAACUCCGUGCCAGCAGCCGCGGU
rnacentral:rRNA from 1 species